rnacentral:sRNA from 1 species
AAGUUUUGGGCUGAAUUUGGAAAUCUUCAAAACAUCAAUAAGUUGCGCAAUUGAAUUCCCCGGCAACGGCGCCAAAUUUGAUAUGAGUCAAAUUACCCUAAUGA